AUCAGNUGUUGNUGGGGUAAUGGCCUNCCAAGCCGAUUACCGGUGNNGGCUUUGAGAGAAGNAGCCCGGAGAUGGACACUGAGAAAAGGGUCCAGGCCCUACGGGCGCAGCAGGCGCGAAAACUUUGCAAUGUGCGAAAGCACGACAAGGUUAAUCCGAGUGCAACAUGCUGAAUGUAGCUUUUGGUAAAUGUAAAUAGUUUAUUGAAUAAGGGGAGGGAAAGUCUGGUGUCAGCCGCCGCGGUAAUACCAGCUCCCCGAGUGGUCGGGACGAUUAUUGGGCNUAAAGCAUCCGUAGCCUGUUCUGUAGGUCUUAUGUUAAAAUCAAUUGCUCAACAAUUGAACUGCAUGAGAUACCACAAAACUAGGAGGCGGGAGAGGUGGACGGUACUCCACGGGUAGGGGUAAAAUCCUCUGAACCGUGGAAGACCACCAGUGGCGAAGGCGGUCCACCAGAACGCGCUCGACGGUGAGGGAUGAAAGCUGGGGUAGCGAACCGGAUUAGAUACCCGGGUAGUCCCAGCUGUAAACGAUGCAAGCUAGGUGAUGCAUCAGCCACGUGUUGAUGCAGUGCCGCAGGGAAGCCGUUAAGCUUGCCGCCUGGGGAGUACGGUCGCAAGGCUGAAACUUAAAGGAAUUGGCGGGGGAGCACCACAAGGGGUGAAGCCUGCGGUUCAAUUGGAGUCAACGCCGGGAACCUUACCAGGAGAGACAGCAGAGUGAAGGUCAAGCUGAAGACUUUACCAGACAAGCUGAGAGGAGGCGCAUGGCCGUCGACAGCUCGUGCCGUGAGGCGUCCUGUUAAGUCAGGCAACGAGCGAGACCCUUGCCAUUAAUUGCUUCCAUCGAUCGAAAGGUUGGCGGAGCUAGUUAAUGGGACUGCCGUUGAUAAAACGGAGGAAGGAAGGGGCCACGGCAGGUCAGUAUGCCCCGAAACUCUUGGGCCACACGCGGGCUGCAAUGGUAGGCACAAUAGGUACCGAAUUCGAGAGAAUGAGGCAAUCCCAAAAUCCUACCCCAGUUGUGAUUGAGGGCUGCAACUCGCCCCCAUGAAUCUGGAAUCCCUAGUAACCGCGUGUCAACAUCGCGCGGUGAAUACGUCCCUGCUCCUUGCACACACCGCCCGUCGCUUCACCCGAGUUGGGUUUGGGGGAGAUAGUGUCUUAUUGACAUUAUCGAAC
rnacentral:rRNA from 1 species